rnacentral:misc_RNA from 1 species
GAUGAAGAACGCAGCGAAAUGCGAUACGUAAUGUGAAUUGCAGAUUUCAGUGAAUCAUCGAAUCUUUGAACGCACAUUGCGCCCGCUAGUAUUCUGGCGGGCAUGCCUGUUCGAGCGUCAUUUCAACCAUCAAGCCCCCGGCUUGUGUUGGGGACCUGCGGCUGCCGCAGGCCCUGAAAAGCAGUGGCGGGCUCGCUGUCACACCGAGCGUAGUAGAUUUCAUCUCGCUCAGGGCGUGCUGCGGGUUCCGGCCGUUAAACCACCUUCAUAACCCAAGGUUGACCUCGGAUCAGGUAGGAAGACCCGCUGAACUUAAGCAUAUCAAUAAGCGGAGGA